rnacentral:rRNA from 1 species
UACGGGAGGCAGCAGUGGGGAAUAUUGCACAAUGGGCGCAAGCCUGAUGCAGCCAUGCCGCGUGUAUGAAGAAGGCCUUCGGGUUGUAAAGUACUUUCAGUCGUGAGGAAGGUGUUAAGGUUAAUAACCUUAGCAAUUGACGUUAGCGACAGAAGAAGCACCGGCUAACUCCGUGCCAGCAGCCGCGGUAAUACGGAGGGUGCGAGCGUUAAUCGGAAUUACUGGGCGUAAAGGGCACGCAGGCGGUUAAUUAAGUUGGAUGUGAAAUCCCCGGGCUUAACCUGGGAAUGGCAUUCAAGACUGGUUAGCUAGAGUCUUGUAGAGGGGGUAGAAUUCCAUGUGUAGCGGUGAAAUGCGUAGAGAUGUGGAGGAAUACCGGUGGCGAAGGCGGCCCCUGGGACAAAGGACUGACGCUCAUGUGCGAAAGCGUGGGGAGCGAAACAGGAUUUAGAUACC